AAAAAUUCAACGCAAUAUCCACUUGAUUAAACCGGUCGACAUCGUUCGGCAGGCGCUCAGCUGUUCUCUCAAGUUACUCUAUGAGAGUCUCUUGAAACUGCUAAGCAUGUCCUCGCUCGCGAAAGAGAUACGACGUAGCGAGUGAACAUUACGAAAACGUUCCUGACCCCGUUACAGUUAUAUUGAAGAUGUAUGAAAUGCU